rnacentral:rRNA from 1 species
AGACCCGAAACCCGGUGAUCUAGCCAUGGGCAGGUUGAAGGUUGGGUAACACUAACUGGAGGACCGAACCGACUAAUGUUGAAAAAUUAGCGGAUGACCUGUGGCUGGGGGUGAAAGGCCAAUCAAACCGGGAGAUAGCUGGUUCUCCCCGAAAGCUAUUUAGGUAGCGCCUCGUGAAUUCAUCUCCGGGGGUAGAGCACUGUUUCGGCUAGGGGGCCAUCCCGGCUUACCAACCCGAUGCAAACUGCGAAUACCGGAGAAUGUUAUCACGGGAGACACACGGCGGGUGCUAACGUCCGUCGUGAAGAGGGAAACAACCCAGACCGCCAGCUAAGGUCCCAAAGUCAUGGUUAAGUGGGAAACGAUGUGGGAAGGCCCAGACAGCCAGGAUGUUGGCUUAGAAGCAGCCAUCAUUUAAAGAAAGCGUAAUAGCUCACUGGUCGAGUCGGCCUGCGCGGAAGAUGUAACGGGGCUAAACCAUGCACCGAAGCUGCGGCAGCGAACGUAUCACCCAAGACAACUUUACGGAGUUGACGAUUGACGGAGCGAAGCGACGUCAAAGCGUUCAUUAAAGUCGAGUUGGCUUAGGGAUACGUUCGUUGGGUAGGGGAGCGUUCUGUAAGCCUGCGAAGGUGGCCUGUGAGGGUUGCUGGAGGUAUCAGAAGUGCGAAUGCUGACAUAAGUAACGAUAAAGCGGGUGAAAAGCCCGCUCGCCGGAAGACCAAGGGUUCCUGUCCAACGUUAAUCGGGGCAGGGUGAGUCGACCCCUAAGGCGAGGCCGAAAGGCGUAGUCGAUGGGAAACGGGUUAAUAUUCCCGUACUUGGUGUUACUGCGAAGGGGGGACGGAGAAGGCUAUGUUGGCCGGGCGACGGUUGUCCCGGUUUAAGCGUGUAGGUGUGUGUUCCAGGUAAAUCCGGUU